UGGGGUGUAGUUAAGUGGUAAAACAUAUGCUUAGUAUGUAUGAGGCCCUGGGUUCAAUCCUCAGCACCAAAA
rfam:Ictidomys tridecemlineatus contig059079, whole genome shotgun sequence.